rnacentral:lncRNA from 1 species
CGCUUUUGUACAUGUUAUAUAUACUCACUUUUAACUUACCUGUUUUGUAUAGUGUUUGUUUAUAUGUACAUAUUUCAGAGUCUAUGAUACUGUAAUAGUAUAUUUUAUUUAUAUUUGACAAUUUUAUGCAAUAUUUCCUCAUGUGUGCCAAGCUGAUAUAAAAAUAUAUGAUAGACUGUCGUAAACUGUGGAUAUCAAUUUUGGUGAAUUGAGAAAAAACUUGCAUUUUGAUGGAUAUUUAAUUCAAAGAUUAAUAAUGAAUCCACAGUAUAUAAAUUGUAAUUGUUACAAUAAACACCACUGCUUUUUUAUGAUAUAAACAAAAGUGCUUUUUGUUGAGCCCUAUGCACUAUAUGUGAAAUUUUCUUUUGCUGGGAAUUUUUUUUUGAGCAAAUCCAUGUACCUGUAUUACUUAGCAUUCACAUUUAAAGAACUAAAACAUCCUUUCUCAAUACUUUUUGUCAGGUUUCCCAUGCCAGUGGGACAGUUGCAUGAUAUUUUUUUCAAAAAUAAUUGGCAGGCCUAAGAAUUUUAAACCCAAGCCACCAUUUUUCUGUUACAAAUUAAGAUUUGACUAUAUCAUGUAUAUCGAGCAUCUCUUUCUUCCAAAACUUUAUUUCAGUUGAACAAUGUGAUUAGGACUUUUAUGUCUGAAACUUUAUGACAAUCAUAAAAAAAAAUGUAUUCUUUACCUUUUUCCCCAAUAAGUAUAUUCUUGCUAACGGUUUGUGUCUGAUGAUUUGAAACAUUUAUAUAUUUUUACUCCUAUGUGUACUCAUUGUCCACCUUUUGACAUUGUUGGCUUAAAAAAACAACCACUAUUUUCUACUGAAUUUUGAAACAAUGAAAAACAUUUAUUUUUAAAAGAUUUAAAUUUUAACUAAUCAUGAGAUAUAAGUUGAACUGCUUCGUUCAGGAAUUGUUCUUGUUCAUGUUGUUUCAAACACAGGAUUGUUUUUUUCUGGUAACUUCAAUCAAAAAUGUUUGUAACAAAUAACCACUUAUAGAAUCAUGUUUUAUUUCCCCUUUUUAACAAUAUUUUAUAUUUUAUUG